rnacentral:rRNA from 1 species
CCUACGGGAGGCAGCAGUGAGGAAUAUUGGUCAAUGGACGGAAGUCUGAACCAGCCAUGCCGCGUGCAGGAAGACGGCUCUAUGAGUUGUAAACUGCUUUUGUACAAGGGUAAACCUGAAUACGUGUAUUCAGCUGAGAGUACUGUACGAAUAAGGAUCGGCUAACUCCGUGCCAGCAGCCGCGGUAAUACGGAGGAUACAAGCGUUAUCCGGAUUUAUUGGGUUUAAAGGGUGCGUAGGCGGAUUGAUAAGUUAGAGGUAAAAUGUCCGAGCUUAACUCGGGAACUGCCUUUACAACUGUUGAUCUAGAGAUUGUAUGCGGUAUGCGGAAUGGAUGGUGUAGCGGUGAAAUGCUUAGAGAUCAUACAGAACACCGAUUGCGAAGGCAGCUUACCAAUCUAUCUCUGACGUUGAGGCACGAAAGCGUGGGUAUCAAACAGGAUUAGAUACCCCAGUAGUC